GAAUGAUGAAUCAAAUGUUUACACAGACCUGUACUGAGUGGACGAACGUUAACGUUUGUUCAUUUUGAAGGAUAACGACAUGCCUCUAGCUGAUAU